UACGAAGGGGGCUAGCGUUGCUCGGAAUCACUGGGCGUAAAGGGUGCGUAGGCGGGUCUUAAGUCAGGGGUGAAAUCCUGGAGCUCAACUCCAGAACUGCCUUUGAUACUGAAGAUCUUGAGUUCGGGAGAGGUGAGUGGAACUGCGAGUGUAGAGGUGAAAUUCGUAGAUAUUCGCAAGAACACCAGUGGCGAAGGCGGCUCACUGGCCCGGUACUGACGCUGAGGCACGAAGGCCAGGGGAGCAA
rnacentral:rRNA from 1 species